rnacentral:rRNA from 1 species
CAGUAGCCGCGGUAACACGUAGGUGGCAAGCGUUGUCCGGAACUAUUGGGCGUAAAGGGCUCGCAGGCGGUUUCUUAAGUCUGAUGUGAAAGCCCCCGGCUCAACCGGGGAGGGUCAUUGGAAACUGGGAAACUUGAGUGCAGAAGAGGAGAGUGGAAUUCCACGUGUAGCGGUGAAAUGCGUAGAGAUGUGGAGGAACACCAGUGGCGAAGGCGACUCUCUGGUCUGUAACUGACGCUGUGGAGCGAAAGCGUGGGGAGCGAACAGGAUUAGAUACCCCAGUAGUCCCUGUCUCUUAUAA